UUUUAUUGGGUGGAUUCGUCCCUCUCAGCACAAAUUUGUUUAUACUCUUUUUUAGGGUGGUUUUUCUGGUACACGUUCAACUGGCUGAGAGUGACAUGGAUAGAGUACUGAGUCAUCUUCCUAUAAUUGCCAUGGCAAUUGUGUUGACAAUCAAUCUCACCAUUUGCCACAGUAAUGUUUCACUUCCCUUAUUUUCUUUCAACAUCCUCUUUAUCCUCUUCUUCUACCUACACCUGUGUCCAACCACAACCACAACUUUU
rnacentral:lncRNA from 1 species